GGCCUACGGGGGGCAGCAGUGAGGAAUAUUGGUCAAUGGCCGCAGGGCUGAACCAGCCAAGUCGCGUGAGGGAUGACGGUCCUAUGGAUUGUAAACCUCUUUUGUCAGGGAGCAAAGGGCGCCACGUGUGGCGCUUUGCGAGUACCUGAAGAAAAAGCAUCGGCUAACUCCGUGCCAGCAGCCGCGGUAAUACGGAGGAUGCGAGCGUUAUCCGGAUUUAUUGGGUUUAAAGGGUGCGCAGGCGGAUUUUUAAGUCAGCGGUCAAAUCGUGGGGCUCAACCCCAUCCAGCCGUUGAAACUGGGGG
rnacentral:rRNA from 1 species